AUUAGAAUUAGUUGGGAAUCUUGUUGAAAUGCUGGUUCUGAUCUGUGGGCCUGUGACAGGGCCUGAAACCCUGCAUUUCUAACAAGCUCCCAGGGGAUAUCAAU
rnacentral:pre_miRNA from 1 species